rnacentral:rRNA from 1 species
UGGUGGAGUGAUUUGUCUGGUUAAUUCCGUUAACGAACGAGACCUCAGCCUGCUAACUAGUUUAUUUCAUCUUUUGAUGAUCAUGAGCUUCUUAGAGGGACUAUCGGUUUCCAGCCGAUGGAAGUAUGAGGCAAUAACA